UUUUGCAGAGUUGCGGAGCUGUCAAGCGCAUCGGGCACCGUCUAGUUGCUUUAAAAAUGAAUCGCUGCCGGGGUCUUACAAGCACCCACACGACUGUAUGCAGAAAGAGUAAGGUCAUUUUGAAUUUUAAUAACCAAGACAACAUCCCGAGUGCUUGUUUUUUGUGGUGCAUAAUACGUUGCACCACGUAAUAAUGUGUAAUGCUUUGGUAAAAUGUACGAAAUUUAAUUUAAGAAUGUUUGACAGUUUUAUAACUCUCUCUUUAUAAUAUCUCUAGUGUUUUAUACUUUGACAACAGGACAAUGCGACAGAACGCUAAUAGUAUGCACCUUGUUUUCCUGUGAGUUUCUAGACACAUCAUGUAGUGUAUCCACACUCAGAAUAACUGGAGGGAAUCCCCCUCCAGAAACCCUUAACACAUCCAGAUGCUCCACGACACUUCGCUGCAUAGUUAAUUGCCGGUUUACUAAUGAGACAAAUUCUCAACCACGCCUUUUAAUUAAAAAAUAAUCACCGUAGAGGUGCACUUACAAUUACUACCUACCGUAGCAUCCGUCCCGAUGUUGUCUAUCAUAAUACAGAGGCAGGACUUUAAACGUGUGCGCGAGGACCUCUGCUGUUUGCGCGCGUCGGUAGCAUUACUCUCGUUUGAAAUGUUCGGGUGUUCAAAUACGUUUAGAGAGACGUAAUGGAUUAUCGUUAUCACUGAACUUAGGCUUCAUAUUUCAUCCAUCCAUUUUCUGAAAGUACCUUUCUGGUCAUUGAAAACGGUGUAUCCAUUAAUAGGAUCUGCCAUGUUUAAGUUAUAUUUGGAAUAUUUUUUCUUCACAUCUGUUUUUGUCUUUGACGUUAUGCACGACUUAAUGAGUAUUUUCUUGUCAGCUAAAGUAUAGAGUCUUUACUGAGGCGCAAAUUUUGAAAGUAAUAACCCAGCAAACAAUUUUCAGUUCGGCGAACGUUCCGUGAAUGUUGAGCGGUGCGGGAAUGUUCCUAGGAUCACCAUAAGCGAACGUUCCGACAGCGUAAUUCAGGAAAGUUUUCUUAACGUUUCCGGAAGGUUCGUUUUUGAGAAACUGUACCGUUCUCCAAACGUUCGUAGAACAUUCUCCAAAGUUCAAGAAUGGAGUUAUGACUUCCCCCCGCGACCCAGUAGGAUAAGCGGUUUGGAAAAUGGAUGGAUGGAGUUCUGACUUCGCCUUCCAUUAUCCCGGAGGGGUGUAUUCGUCCCCCCUGCUAAUUCAGCGAGGCUCCGUGAGAUUGUCGUCACUGGAAUCCGGAGUGGGCGCAUUAAUGAUGAGUAGCCUCGUGGGCCAAAAGGCUGAUUUUUCGUUGCUGUUUUGCUCUGACUGGAUUUGUGUUUAUGUAUGGGUUGUGUGUUUUUUCUUAACUUUCAUGAUCGAUUGGGGAGGUGCGGGUGGUUCUAACGGGCGGCUAGAGUCAUCCGAUGGUGGGACCGCUUGUGUAUUGAAUGUUUUCUUAUGCCUAUUGUGUGUGUGUGUGUGUG